rnacentral:rRNA from 1 species
ACUGCUCAGUAACACGUGGAUAACCUGCCCUGCGGUGGGAAAUAACCCCGGGAAACUGGGGAUAAUGUCCCAUAGGCUACGGGUGCUGGAAUGCUCUGUAGCUCAAAGAUUUAUCGCCACAGGAUGGGUCUGCGGCCGAUUAGGUAGUUGUUGGGGUAACGGCCCAACAAGCCUUUGAUCGGUACGGGUUGUGGGAGCAAGAGCCCGGAGAUGGAUUCUGAGACACGAAUCCAGGCCCUACGGGGCGCAGCAGGCGCGAAAACUUUACAAUGCGGGAAACCGUGAUGAGGGGACACCGAGUGCCAGCAUCAUAUGCUGGCUGUCCGGGUGUGUAAAAUACACCUGUUAGCAAGGGCCGGGCAAGACCGGUGCCAGCCGCCGCGGUAACACCGGCGGCCCGAGUGGUGAUCGUGAUUAUUGGGUCUAAAGGGUCCGUAGCCGGUUUGGUCAGUCCUCCGGGAAAUCUGAUAGCUCAACUAUUAGGCUUUCGGGGGAUACUGCCAGGCUUGGAACCGGGAGAGGUAAGAGGUACUACAGGGGUAGGAGUGAAAUCUUGUAAUCCCUGUGGGACCACCUGUGGCGAAGGCGUCUUACCAGAACGGGUUCGACGGUGAGGGACGAAAGCUGGGGGCACGAACCGGAUUAGAUACCCGGGUAGUCCCAGCCGUAAACGAUGCUCGCUAGGUGUCAGGCAUGGCGCGACCGUGUCUGGUGCCGCAGGGAAGCCGUGAAGCGAGCCACCUGGGAAGUACGGCCGCAAGGCUGAAACUUAAAGGAAUUGGCGGGGGAGCAC